CUCCAUCAUAUUACCUCCUCCCCCGUACAUCCACCCCCCAAUCCCGCCGCUCGAGAGGACGACGACACGAUGACUCGCGGCAACCAGAGGGAGAAGGAUCGCGAGAGGGCGGCAGCCCGCAAUAAGGGGCUCAAGGGCAAGGAGGACGGCCUCACCCCCGAACAGCGCCGCGAGAGGGAUGCGAAGGCGCUGCAGGAAAAGCUGGCGAAGAAGGCGGGGCAGGGGUCGUCGGCCGCCGGCGGAGAUGCCGGCGGUAAAGCGGCGGCGAAGAAGUGACCCGAAGGUGGUUUAUUUGAUGCAAACUGUUAUAUGUUAAAUUAAAUGAGGCUUGGGAUGAGUUUUGGGAUUUGAUUUCGUUUGGAUCUG
rnacentral:misc_RNA from 1 species